AACAUCAAUGGAUUCUCGACUUCAAAGGAU
rnacentral:piRNA from 1 species